UACCGACUGAGGUGAGGGACCAGUAUGCGAGGGCUUAGGGCACAUCUCAUUUCUGGAUUCUGCUGGAGGGCCCAGUCUGCUGGGCUUGGUUUCUGAGAGAGCGAUUUGUACGCUAGAUCGUAGGCUCGCAUGAUUCAAUCAUUCCAAUGCCACCCCCAACGUCUAUACGAACGGUAGAUAGCCUAUCAGUUAAGGCUAUUAUUCAGUUCAUUGCAGGCCCGGAUGCGGACUUCUUCAGAGCAGGGGGUGAUUAUGCAACAUUUAUCCAGACUCAUCUCAUGCCUCCUCUAAUGAAUGUUCGCGCAUGCGAGGUAGCAGGAGCUCCCAUGGUGGGUGAGGCGACUCGAGCGACCAAGGCCCAUACUAGAGGGGUCCUUCCUGUUGGGCAGAUGACCAGUUGGUCGAAGAUUCCUACUAUACUCACAUAUUGGCAGCCGACUGGGACUGCCUACCAGAUUUUGAUUGACCAAGCAGAGGCAGGGCACAAGUAUGUUAGAGCUCAAGGCAUGCCUCAAGCACCUACUAUGGAGUAUGCAGAGAGCCUCCUCGAGCUAGUUGCCUCUCUGAUCGGCAUGGUGUAGAGGAGAGAGACGCUGUUUGGUCUCCACGGUAUUCAGAUCCCAACUGUACCGAGGGCACCAGUGGCAGUGGCAGCAUCAGCACCAGUAGUACCUCCUCCAGCAGCAGGGAGGCGAGAGAGACAGGCCCCAGUACGCAGCUGAGACGAGCGUCGCGGUUGAGGUAAGGACAAGGGUGCUCGAGGCCGGAGUAGUCCUUCAGAGCCCGUUCUGAGUGGUGAUGAUGAUGACGAGGCCAGCGUCUCUGAGGAGAUAGUAAGUCCACAUUCUGAGUCUGAGAGCGGGAACGAUGAUACCGGCUCAGGGUCGGGGAGCGGAGAUGACACCGAGGUUGGCUCCAAGGCAGGGAGCAGAGGCUCAGAGUUUGGUUUUGACAGCGGUGCCAACGGAGACAGUGCCUCUGAGUCCCCUCCGAGGAAGAGGAUGAAGAGGGCCUCUCGAGCUUGAGAUGAUUGACACUGUUUUUUGGACUUUUUUGCUUAGUUUCUU